CUCUUGUAAAUAUUGCAUCCGAAAUUCAUUCGAGAGAAUCAAGAGAUAUCGUAGAAAAAGACCCUGAAAACAACUUAUCUCAAGAAUUAUCUUUGGUAUCAGUUCAACGAAAAGAUGUUAGUAUUAUGACAGAGCCUGACAUCAGGGAUGAAACCAUAUUUCAGCUAAAACAAGAAAUUGAACGUCUUAAAAAUGAAAAUCAAGUGCUCCAUAGAUUUAUCUCUCUUUACUCUUUAUUUUAUCUUGAUAUUUGAUGGCUUUGAACAAACCCAGAGAACACCAUAGGUCCAAAUUAGUUGUAUCAUAGAUUUAUGCAGAUGCAGUUUAUAUUCAACGGCGAGUUUUGAUUUUUGACCCAUUUGUUUUCUUCGCUUAAAUAUUCUUGAAAAUUCAAUUUUUCCAAUUAAUAAUUUUGCAUUUAAAAAACAGCCAAAAGUACUAAAUACCUCAUUUGUUUUGAAGCACGAAAACAUAUAUUAUUAUAACAAGUGACCAUAUAAUUAUUGCAAAGACUUAAAAAAAAUGUUGUUAUGUGACAAGGUUUUUGUUACAUAGGCUGAUUAUAUGUAUCUUUAUAAUCUGUGUUUUUACCCCUCAUAUUUUUGUGAAUUUUAUGGACUUAUUUUAAUAACGUAUGUAGGUACCAUUUAAAAAUAUUACGAUGUUUAAUUUCUAAUUUUAAAUGUCAAUAAAAUGUAAAUAUAUGUACAUGAUACAUAAAACUACUUUUAUUUAUUUGUAUUAUAAUCGAAAUAAAAUCAUGCUGUAUCCGCUAAUAAAAGAAGUUUUUAAUAA